CUCCUGGGCUCAGGUGAUCCUAACCCUCCGGAUUACAGCUGGGAUUAUAAGCGUGCACUGGCACACUCGGCUGAGUUUUGAAACUUUUUGUAGAGAUGGGGUCUUGCUAUGUUGCUCAGGCUGGCCUAGGCCUUUCUUGAAAGAUGAGAAUUUUCGCGAUGCUGGGUGUACGUUUUCACCUCCCGUGGUCUGAGGGGAAAAAAUGGUGGCCGCCUUCUUAGGGGUUCUUGGGAGUCCAGCCCUGCACAGCCCCUCACCCGCCUUACCUGGCUUUCCCCUGUAGUCAGUGGACAUUGUUGCCUGUCAUUUAGUAAUGAGAACCCAGCUGUGUAAACCUCCUAAACUACCACAUAGGAAUCUGGCUCUUAACAUACCUUUCCUGAGGUGAGGGAUGCUCACUACAGGACGUUCUGCAAGAAAAGUCCUAAACAUGCCCUGACGGAAGCUGGAGCCAAAGUCUGUGUCUGCGGAUUGUUUCCUGAGGAGAGGUUUCUGGGGGUGGGCUGAUGUGAGACCAGGGUCUGGGCCUUGGGAGGGGAUGGCUGGCUGGAGGACAGCUCCGGGGAAGGGUUGCUUCCCUGGGAUCUGCCCUCAUGGGACUGGCACAUGAUGGUGUCCCCUCUUCUGGGGUCGGGAUAAGCCAGGUAACCAUGGCUUCCUCAUGGGGUGCACACCCUCUUCCCCCUCUAAUAGUCUUGGCCGCCACAGCUCUCCUGCAAAGCAGAUUGGGAGCAGGGGUGGACACAGGUUCUAAGUGUGCUCUGGCUACUGGAAGACCCAUCUCCACAGGUCGACUUGCCAGAGACCACCCCAAGUGGAAAAUUCUGGGGGCUGGGCCAGGGUGAAUCCAGGGCUCGGAGGACCUGGAGUAUGUAUAAUCUGGGGGCCCCUUUAAAGAGAGAGAACAUGACAUUACAUAGACACAGGCAGGUAGAGGAAAGAGAACGUGACAUUACAUAGACACAGGCAGGUAGAGGAGAGAGAGAGAACAUGACAUUACAUAGACACAGGCAGGUAGAGGAAAGAGAACAUGACAUUACAUAGACACAGGCAGGGACAGGAAAGAGAGAGAACAUGACAUUACAUAGACACAGGCAGGGACAGG